rnacentral:rRNA from 1 species
CCUACGGGAGGCAGCAGUGGGGAAUAUUGGACAAUGGGCGAAAGCCUGAUCCAGCAAUGCUGCGUGAGUGAUGAAGGCCUUCGGGUCGUAAAGCUCUUUUACCAGGGAUGAUAAUGACAGUACCUGGAGAAUAAGCUCCGGCUAACUCCGUGCCAGCAGCCGCGGUAAUACGGAGGGAGCUAGCGUUGUUCGGAAUUACUGGGCGUAAAGAGUACGUAGGCGGUUAUUCAAGUCAGAGGUGAAAGCCCGGGGCUCAACCCCGGAACUGCCUUUGAAACUAGAUAACUAGAGUCUUGGAGAGGUUAGUGGAAUUCCGAGUGUAGAGGUGAAAUUCGUAGAUAUUCGGAAGAACACCAGUGGCGAAGGCGACUAACUGGACAAGUACUGACGCUGAGGUACGAAAGCGUGGGGAGCAAACAGGAUUAGAUACCCUGGUAGUCCACGCCGUAAACGAUGAUAACUAGUUGUUCGGUCACUUGGUGACUGAGUGACGCAGCUAACGCAUUAAGUUAUCCGCCGUGGGGAGUACGGUCGCAAGAUUAAACUCAAAUGAAUUGACGG